AUGCUGGAUGGAGCCUACGUAUGCUUUUUCUGGAUGGAUUUGCUAGCACUGAAGACAGAUGCAGGUUCAGUUACAACAGCAUCAGCAUCAUCAGCAUCAUCAGCAUCAGCAUCAUCACCAUCAUCACCAUCAUCACCAUCAGCAGCAGCAGCGGCAGCAGUGGCAGCAAUGUUUUAGAGAUGUUGGCUAUCUUGUCAUUUUACAUUCUCCUUCAAUCUGCUCUUCUUUAGAACCUCCCAUAAGGAUGGCCAGUAACACUGUGAUGAAAUUAAGGUCUCAGUGACAACAUGAGUGUGACAACUCAUUGCUUCCAUGGAUGAGGUUGGGUGGUUUUUAACAUUAAUAAUGAAGAGACUAUGACUACUCCAGGUACCAAGUCAAUGGAAGUGACUAGUGUCGAUGAUCUUUGAAGACUUCUUCAUUAAGCAAAUAAUUUCCCGAGGUACUUUUUCCUCUGACUGCUGCACAUUUCGUCCCAGAUAUCUUAAUCUUCUCAAAAGGUAAGACAGGAAGUCUGAGACCUCGAGAAUGGAAGAGUCUUGCUCUAAGUCACUAAGUGAGUUGACUGCAAGACCUAGACCACAGCCCUUGGCACAAAGGAGGUGCUCGAUAAAUAGUGAAUGAAUUCAAACAUACAUUUCUCUCCUUAUCAUGCUCUACAAGAUACAAUAUUCCUAACAUGGACUCUCCUCUUCUGAGUUGAAGUGGCAUCCUUGUCCACUGUGAUAGAUGCAAACCGUAUGUGGUUACAAAGCAUUCACAAUGUGGUUGGUCCAUACUGACAUGAGUUGUAAAUCAAUCUCAAUAUAUUUUUAAUAGGUUCCCUUGAUGAGGACCAGGCUGUACUCAGAAUUGUAAUCCUUCUGUCCCAGUAUGUUUGAUUUGCUAGGACUAGCCUUUAAUCUGAAAAUUGAACACUUGCUAUGACAAAAUGGAAAGUAUCUCAAUAAUCUUCAUAAUGAUCGCACAGUAAAAUGACAAUAGUUUUUGUAUACUGGAUUAAAUAAAAAUAUAACAUCAUGAAAAUUAAUUGCUGUUUCUUCACUUUUUCAAGAGGUAAAAGCACUUACAGUGAAAGCAUGAGGAUGUGUUCAACCCCUGGAACCUUUGUAAAAGAACAAGAUGUGCUAGCACCGGUCUGAAAUAAGAACCAGAAGUGCUAGCACCUGUCUGUAAUAGCAGGACUUGUAAGGGAAGAGCUGAAGCAGGGAUGGAGAAUCUCCUGGCAGCUCCAAGGCCAGUCUGACUGGAAUACACAGUGCAGCAGAAAAGAGACUGUGUUUCUACAGAGAUGAAGGAUAAAACAGACUCACAAAGAGUCUCCUGACCUCUACACCCACACUGUGGCAUUUACAUAGCUGUACAUUCACACACAUGGAGAAACAUGCAUGUGUGCACAUGUAUGCCCAUGGAUUUGGAGAGUCAAUAUUUUGAAAAUGCCAUAAAACCAAGCAAAAUCUGUAGAUUUCAAGGAAAUCAAAAUUAUAAUAAUAUUUUCCCCAAGAAUAGAAACAAUUUUAAGAUACAUACGGUAACACAAGAGGCCCCAGAUCACCAAAUCAGUUCUAAGUAAUAAAAAUAAUUCUGGAUGUAUCACCAUAUAUGAUUUAAAAGUAUACUACAGAGUCCAAUAAAAACAACAUAUCAGCAUAUAAACAGGUAUAUGGAUUAUUGGAGUAGACUAGAGGACACACGAAUGAAGUCACACCUUUAGCUGAAGAGCUGUUAGUAGUUGAUAGCUCCUGGGGCAGGGACACUCAAUUUUCUUUAAGGGCGUGACCCUUGGUAGGCCCACGAUGUUUCAGAGCAGCAAAUUAGAUUUGAUGAGUUAAAAAAAUAAUAGGACAUAAAGUUGGGCGAAUGAGUCUUGAAGGAGUUUGUGGAGGGAGGGUAAAUAUGACAGGACAAGGCCAGGCCCCAUUUUGUGCAAGUCUUGUGUAGGUAACUACAUCUGCUGUGAGGACAAUGGUCAUGCCAUACCAAAAUACAUUGUGUGUGGAAAAUAGAGGCCUAAAUAUAGAAUGCUGCUGAAGGGCUUCCCUGCUCAAAAACAACUGCCUGGUCACACAGAGGCCACCCAAGCUUUAGUGAUGGGUCAUGCUACGUCUUGAGUUGGCAGCAGAACUUGGCAGUGUUGUCCACCUAAGUUUUCCAAGAAUAAAAGAUACAACAGAGUCUCCAUCAAGGGCCCCACAGCUGCCACACUCAACAAAUUAAAACUACUUUGAGAUUUUAUCUCCGCCCCCAUCAGAAUGGCUAAGAUUAAUAAAACAAAUGACAGUAGAUUCUGGAGAGGAUGCAGAGAAAAUGGAAUAAUAUUUGUUGCUGGUGGGAGUGCAAACUGUAGAGCCCCUAGGGAAAUCAGUAUGGCUGUAUCUCAAAAAAAAAUAAAAAGUGGAUCUACCACAAGAACCAGUUAUACCAUAUCUUACUACAACAGAUAAUCAUUUAUCUAUGUUCAUUGCUACCCACUCACAAUAGACAGAAAUUGGAAACAACCUAGAUGUUCAUCAGCUGAUGAACAGAUUAGGAAAAUGUAGUAUAUCAACACAAUGAACUAUUUAUUAUUCAUCUGUAAAGAAAAAUAAAACUGAAAUUUUCAAGUGAAUGGAUGGAUCUAGACACAGUCAUCCUGAGUGAGGUAAUCCAGAACCAGAAAGACAAAUAUUGCCAACUUUCUCUUAGAUGUGGAUGAUUGCUUUUAAGCCUUAGAAAAUAUUUAUUUCAUUUACUAUAUCCACAGAGGUUAAGUAGAUCUCAGUAGACCACAGGGGAGGGGGGGAUAGUCCAAGGAAGGAGAAAUAGAAUAUAGUGUUACAAAGGAAUAAAGGGAAAACUGGAAUAGAAAGAUUAAAUGGCGAGGAGGGUGAGAGGGCAAAGCAAAGGAGAGAACACCAAAGGCCAUUUGAAAACACAUAUGGAAACCCAUUACUCUAAAUUUUAUAUGGAAUUUCCAUGAUGUUACCAAUAUACUGUGGAAGGUAAAGGCCCAAGUAGACAUCAUAUGCCACCAAGUAAAACCUUCAGUGCCGGCCAUGGGUUAUAUCUUGUUCAGUCUUUAGACAAAAGAAUCCAGAGGUGUCCCCAGACAUCACAAACUAUUGCUAAGGCUAUUACUUACCCUUCACCACCUUACAGUAAGACCCUAUUGCUGAAGACAUGACUUACUUACGUCAUCAAACACAGAGGAGUCUAGCUGGGGCUCAACUAAAAGCUUCCCCUCUACUGAGUAGCAUUCAUAGUACUAAGACUGCUAUACAUGCCAACUGAGGAGAAAAGUUAUAAUCAAUCUUAUCAGCUAUGAGCCAUGAUUAAUAGUGACCUGUCUGCAAGAUAUUCUGGUAUAAUAGUGGCACAAACGUUAUGGGAAUAACCAACCUUUUUUUUUAAUUGGAUUUAAGGUCUACUUCAUAAGAUGGAACCCA
ensembl:lincRNA